AUACUCACCUGACAGGAAAGCAACCACAAUCAUGUAGGUAGUUUCCCCAAGUGAGGCUUGUCAAUUACAGUCCUGAUGUUGUUUUCCCUAAUGAUUUCCCCUAAUGAAAAAAAAAUUGAUUGUAUAAUUUAUGGUAGCAGGGGACUGUGUUCACACUCUGCCCUA